UACGUAGGGUGCAAGCGUUAAUCGGAAUUACUGGGCGUAAAGCGUGCGCAGGCGGUUGUGUAAGACAGAUGUGAAAAUCCCCCGGGCUCAACCUGGGAACUGCAUUUGUGACUGCACGGCUGGAGUGCGGCAGAGGGGGAUGGAAUUCCGCGUGUAGCAGUGAAAUGCGUAGAUAUGCGGAGGAACACCGAUGGCGAAGGCAAUCCCCUGGGCCUGCACUGGACGCUCAUGCACGAAAGCGUGGGGAGCAAACAGGA
rnacentral:rRNA from 1 species